rnacentral:tRNA from 2 species
GCAGGUGUAGUUUAAUGGUAAAACUAUAGCUUCCCAAGCUAUCGAUGGGGGUUCGAUUCCCCUCGCUUGCUCCA